AGCCAACCAUCAACAGCCAGGACUACUGCCUGCUGAAGCUCCCGAAGCUCAUGAUACAGGGAGAGCAGAAGGCUGGAAGCAGAGCUGCGAUUAGCAAGCUGAUAGAUGAAGCAAGGCUGGAAGAAGGCGCUAUCUCCUGCGGUUAUCUUCCCAUUUAACACUUCAAAACACUUCUCCAGCACCUGUAGGUGAUGAGUGACAAUUAUCCUGAGUUUUUAAAACUUUUUGAAAAAUGAGCUAUUACUUUCUGUGUUUUUAUCUGC
rnacentral:lncRNA from 1 species